CCUACGGGAGGCAGCAGUGGGGAAUAUUGCGCAAUGGGCGAAAGCCUGACGCAGCGACGCCGCGUGAGGGAUGAAGGUCUUCGGAUCGUAAACCUCUGUCAGCAGGGAAGAACGGUCACUGUGCUAAUCAGCAGUGAAUUGACGGUACCUGCAAAGGAAGCACCGGCUAACUCCGUGCCAGCAGCCGCGGUAGUACGGGGGGUGCGAGCGUUAAUCGGAAUUACUGGGCGUAAUGCGCUCGUAGGCGGUAUGGCAAGUCAAGGGUGAAAUCCCCGCGCUCAACGUGGGAACUGCCUUUGAAACGGGGAAACUGGAGUGUGGGAGAGGAGAGUGGAAUUCGAGGUGUAGGAGUGAAAGCCGUAGAUAUCUGGAGGAACAUCAGUGGCGAAGGCGACUAUCUGGCACAUAACUGACGCUGAGGAGCGAAAGCGUGGGUAGCAAACAGGAUUAGAUACCCGUGUAGUC
rnacentral:rRNA from 1 species